UAGGAGUUUUCUGAAAAUCCAUAAAAGAGUAGGAA
rnacentral:ncRNA from 1 species